rnacentral:sRNA from 1 species
AUUUACCCACGUACACUCCGGUUCCUCCGCGCCGUCCGCACCCACCUGGCGACUGCUCGCUACGUUUUGUUAGCC